rnacentral:rRNA from 1 species
GAUGAACGCUGGCGGCGUGCCUAAUACAUGCAAGUCGAGCGAACGGACGAGAAGCUUGCUUCUCUGAUGUUAGCGGCGGACGGGUGAGUAACACGUGGAUAACCUACCUAUAAGACUGGGAUAACCUCGGGAAACCGGAGCUAAUACCGGAUGAUAUUUUGAACCGCAUGGUUCAAAAGUGAAAGACGGUCUUGCUGUCACUUAUAGAUGGAUCCGCGCUGCAUUAGCUAGUUGGUAAGGUAACGGCUUACCAAGGCAACGAUGCAUAGCCGACCUGAGAGGGUGAUCGGCCACACUGGAACUGAGACACGGUCCAGACUCCUACGGGAGGCAGCAGUAGGGAAUCUUUCGCAAUGGGCGAAAGCCUGACGGAGCAACGCCGCGUGAGUGAUGAAGGUCUUCGGAUCGUAAAACUCUGUUAUUAGGGAAGAACAUAUGUGUAAGUAACUGUGCACAUCUUGACGGUACCUAAUCAGAAAGCCACGGCUAACUACGUG